UUUUUUGAAUCUAAAAAUCAGAAGCAAAUUCUUCCUUCUACAAUCCCUUGAUACACAGGAGUGCAGAAGAGAAAGGUUGAAUUUGGCCCUUGGCAUGUUCAAACAGAGUUCUGCAAACAUAUCUUCCCAUGUUGUUAUGAUAUUGUACUAUAUUUUAAGAGCAAAAAUCUAAAA